CUCUAUCUUUAAUACCAAAAAAAAUAUGCAAAAUUUUCGAUCUAAAAAAGUACAUGUUAAUUGUAAAAAACCGAAAUUUCGAUUUUCUUUAAAAACUACAAUUUUUUCAAUUUUAAUAAUUAUGUGCAAGGUGCCCCUUUGCGAGGAGUACUUAGCCGUUUUUAAAUGAAAGCUCUAUCUUUAAUAACAAAAAAGUUAUGCAAAAUUUUCGAUCUAAAAAAGUACAUGGUAAUUGUAAAAAACCGAAAUUUCGAUUUUUCUCAAAAACUAUAAUUUUUUCAAUUUUGAUAAUUAUGUGCAAGGUGCCCCUUUGCGAGGAGUACUUGGCCGUUUUUAAAUGAAAGCUCUAUCUUUAAUAACAAAAAAGUUAUGCAAAAUUUUCGAUCUAAAAAAGUACAUGUUAAUUGUAAAAAACCAAAAUUUCGAUUUUUCUCAAAAACUAUAAUUUUUUCAAUUUUGAUAAUUAUGUGCAAGGUGCCUCUUUGCGAGGAGUACUUGGCAG